GGCUUAAGUACACCGCCGAAACCGCGGCAACACACUUUUUGGUGUGUUGGGUAGGGGAGCGUCGUGCAUGUGUUGAAGCCGCCUGGUGACAGGUGGUGGAGUGUGUGCGAGUGAGAAUGCAGGCAUGAGUAACGAUUGAUGUGUGAGAAACAUAUCCGCCGGAUGACUAAGGGUUCCUGGGUGAAGUUUGUCUUCCCAGGGUGAGUCGGGGCCUAAGGCGAGGCCGACAGGCGUAGUCGAUGGAUAACGGGUUGAUAUUCCCGUACCCGUGUGCGUGCGACAAGUGAUGAAUCUUAUGGUACUAACCACCCGCCUACGUGCACUGGUCUUUUUGGUUGGUGUGUGUGGGUGCGUGGGAUCUUCGUGGGUAGUAGUCAAGUGAUGGGGUGACGCAGAGUGGUAGCUAGGCUUCCUUAUUGGAUUGGAGUGCAAGCGUGUGGCCUGUGGGGUUGGGAAAUCCGCCCCGCAUAUUCAGGUGAGGCGUGAUGCGGACACCAUAUUGUGGUGGUAGUUAGUGUGCCUGUGCUGUCUAGAAAAGCCUCUAGCGAGUGCGUGCAUGGCCCGUACCGGAAACCGACACAGGUGGUCAGGUAGAGAAUACUAAGGCGUUCGGGUGAACUGUGGUUAAGGAACUCGGCAAAAUGCCCCCGUAACUUCGGGAGAAGGGGGACCAUUACUAGUUGCUGACAGCAUUUUUAGCUGGUGGUGGUCGCAGAGGAGAGAGGGAAGCGACUGUUUAUUAAAAACACAGGUCCGUGCGAAAACGUGGAAGUUGAGGUAUACGGACUGACGCCUGCCCGGUGCUGGAAGGUUAAGAGGACCCGUGAGCACGCCUAGUGCGUGCGAGGCGGAGAAUUGAAGCCCCAGUAAACGGCGGUGGUAACUAUAACCAUCCUAAGGUAGCGAAAUUCCUUGUCGGGUAAGUUCCGACCUGCACGAAUGGCGUAACGACUUCCCUGCUGUCUCAACCACAGGCCCGGUGAAAUUGCAGUACGAGUAAAGAUGCUCGUUUCGCGCGGCAGGACGAAAAGACCCCGGGACCUUUACUAUAGCUUGGUAUUGGUGUUUGGUCAUGCUUGUGUAGGAUAGGUGGGAGACUGUGAAGCCAUAACGCUAGUUGUGGUGGAGUCGGUAAGUGAAAUACCACUCUGGUGUGAUUGGGUACCUGAACCUUGGCCCGUGAUCCGGGUUGGGGACAGUGCCUGGUGGGUAGUUUAACUGGGGCGGUUGCCUCCUAAAUGGUAACGGAGGCGCCCAAAGGUUUCCUCAGUCUGGUUGGCAAUCAGAUGGUGAGUGUAAGUGUAUAAGGGAGCUUGACUGUGACACUGACGGGUGGAGCAGGUGCGAAAGCAGGGACUAGUGAUCCGGCAUCUACGUGUGGUUGUGGUGUCGCUCAACGGAUAAAAGGUACCCCGGGGAUAACAGGCUGAUCUUCCCCAAGAGUUCAUAUCGACGGGAUGGUUUGGCACCUCGAUGUCGGCUCGUCGCAUCCUGGGGCUGGAGUAGGUCCCAAGGGUUGGGCUGUUCGCCCAUUAAAGCGGCACGCGAGCUGGGUUUAGAACGUCGUGAGACAGUUCGGUCUCUAUCCGCCGCGCGCGUUGAAACUUGAAGAAGGCUGUCCCUAGUACGAGAGGACCGGGAUGGACGUACCUCUGGUAUGCCAGUUGUCACGCCAGUGGCAUGGCUGGUUAGCUACGUGCGGGAGGGAUAACCGCUGAAAGCAUCUAAGCGGGAAGCCUGUUUUGAGAUGAGGUUUCUGUUGAGGUUCCCCAUAGAUGAUGGGGUUGAUAGGCCAGGGCUGUGAGCAUGGUGACGUGUUGGAGGUGACUGGUACUAAUACACCGACACAAAAAAC
rnacentral:rRNA from 1 species